GGGGCUGAUUCUGGAUUCGACGGGAUUUGCGAAACCCAAGGUUCAUGCCGAGGGGCGGUUGGCCUCGUAAAAAGCCGCAAAAAAUAGUCGCAAACGACGAAAACUACGCUUUAGCAGCUUAAUAACCUGCUUAGAGCCCUCUCUCCCUAGCCUCCGCUCUUAGGACGGGGAUCAAGAGAGGUCAAACCCAAAAGAGAUCGCGUGGAAGCCCUGCCUGGGGUUGAAGCGUUAAAACUUAAUCAGGCUAGUUUGUUAGUGGCGUGUCCGUCCGCAGCUGGCAAGCGAAUGUAAAGACUGACUAAGCAUGUAGUACCGAGGAUGUAGGAAUUUCGGACGCGGGUUCAACUCCCGCCAGCUCCACCA
rnacentral:tmRNA from 1 species